rnacentral:rRNA from 1 species
GACGAACCGUGCGAACGUUAUUCGGAAUCACUGGGCUUAAAGCGCGUGUAGGCGGGCCGCCACGUCGGCUGCUGAAAUCCCCCGGCUCAACCGGGGAACGGGCACCGAUACGAGCGGCCUCGAGGGGGGGUAGGGGGGUCUGGAACUUCCGGUGGAGCGGUGAAAUGCGUUGAGAUCGGAAGGAACGCCCGUGGCGAAAGCGAGGCCCUGGACCCUUACUGACGCUGAGACGCGAAAGCCAGGGGAGCGAACGGG